rnacentral:rRNA from 1 species
UACGGGGGGGGCUAGCGUUGCUCGGAAUCACUGGGCGUAAAGCGCACGUAGGCGGACUCUUAAGUCGGGGGUGAAAUCCUGGAGCUCAACUCCAGAACUGCCUUCGAUACUGGGAGUCUCGAGUUCGGGAGAGGUGAGUGGAACUGCGAGUGUAGAGGUGAAAUUCGUAGAUAUUCGCAAGAACACCAGUGGCGAAGGCGGCUCACUGGCCCGAUACUGACGCUGAUGUGCGAAAGCGUGGGGAGCAAACAGG